rnacentral:tRNA from 1 species
UUGGAUUUAAACCCCAAUUAUAAAGUUCAGCUUUUUUUAGAA